UAUCAUGGCUCAGGACGAACGCUGGCGGCGUGCUUAACACAUGCAAGUCGAACGGAGCACCCUUGACUGAGGUUUCGGCCAAAUGAUAGGAAUGCUUAGUGGCGGACUGGUGAGUAACGCGUGAGGAACCUGCCUUCCAGAGGGGGACAACAGUUGGAAACGACUGCUAAUACCGCAUGACGCAUGACCGGGGCAUCCCGGGCAUGUCAAAGAUUUUAUCGCUGGAAGAUGGCCUCGCG
rnacentral:rRNA from 1 species